rfam:Trichobilharzia regenti genome assembly, scaffold: TRE_scaffold0020691
GUCCAGCUGACGAGUCCCAAAUAGGACGAAAUGCGCAUCCUGGAU